AUUUCUAUCAUUGUUAGUUAGAAAUUAAAAAUAUUAUAUUGCGUGUAGUAUUAUAGAGUCUAGGCCUUACAGUGUUUGCCCUAUCACACACAAAUAACUGUGUGUUUUUACCGCCAAUAUAUUCGUUUUUGUUGUCACAGCGAAAUGUGCGGUUUUCGUUUAAAGGUUAACAUUGACAUUGUAUGCGUGAUUAUACGCAUUAAAUAUACAAAUGAUUUUCACCUAUGUAAAACAAUAAACGAAUAGAAUCAUCAAAUGUAUUCGAUUAAUUUUUAUGUUUAUAUAGUUCGCACAUGUUGUAUAUUGCUUCAAAAAAACAACGUUUUGUAAAUUAAAUUUUUCUUCAGUAUAAUACCCUUAUAAAAGUCUAUGCAAAAUACAUAUUUUUACUAGAUAUUCGUUAUUUUUAUCAUUAUUAGUUAAAAAUUAAAAAGAUUAUAAUGCGAUAUUUCAUAAUUAUUUCUAUAAUUUCUUUUGUUGUCCUUAUCCACACAGGGCGCUCUUCAAAAAUAACAUAUCCUAAAGGUAAUU